UACGAAGGGGGCUAGCGUUGCUCGGAAUCACUGGGCGUAAAGGGUGCGUAGGCGGGUCUUUAAGUCAGGGGUGAAAUCCUGGAGCUCAACUCCAGAACUGCCUUUGAUACUGAAGAUCUUGAGUCCGGGAGAGGUGAGUGGAACUGCGAGUGUAGAGGUGAAAUUCGUAGAUAUUCGCAAGAACACCAGUGGUGAAGGCGGCUCACUGGCCCGGUACUGACGCUGAGGCACGAAAGCGUGGGGAGCAAACAG
rnacentral:rRNA from 1 species